rnacentral:rRNA from 1 species
AGAUUGAACGCUGGCGGCAUGCCUCACACAUGCAAGUCGAACGCGAAAGUAGGGGGCAACCCCUGCGAGUAGAGUGGCGAACGGGUGAGUAAUACAUCGGAACGUGUCCAGUAGCGGGGGAUAGCUUCUCGAAAGAGAAGCUAAUACCGCAUACGACCUACGGGUGAAAGAGGGGGAUCGCAAGACCUCUCACUAUUGGAGCGGCCGAUGUCGGAUUAGCUAGUUGGCGGGGUAAAAGCCACCAAGCGACGAUCCGUAGCUGGUCUGAGAGGACGGCCAGCCACACUGGAACUGAGACACGGUCCAGACUCCUACGGAGCAGCAGUGGGAAUUUGGACAAUGGCGCAAGCCUGAUCCAGCCAUGCCGCGU